rnacentral:rRNA from 1 species
AGCCAGACUCCUACGGGAGGCAGCAGUGGGGGAUAUUGGACAAUGGGGGAACCCUGAUCCAGCGAUGCCGCGUGAGGGAAGAAGGUUUUCGGAUUGUAAACCUCUGUGGACAGGGACGAUAAUGACGGUACCUGUCAAGAAAGCCACGGCUAACUACGUGCCAGCAGCCGCGGUAAUACGUAGGUGGCGAGCGUUGUCCGGAAUUACUGGGUGUAAAGGGAGCGUAGGCGGGACGGCAAGUCAGAUGUGAAAACUGAGGGCUCAACUUUCAGACUGCAUUUGAAACUGCUGUUCUUGAGUGAAGUAGAGGUAAGCGGAAUUCCUAGUGUAGCGGUGAAAUGCGUAGAUAUUAGGAGGAACACCAGUGGCGAAGGCGGCUUACUGGACUGUAACUGACGUUGAGGCUCGAAAGCGUGGGGAGCAAACAGGAUUAGAUACCCUCGUAAC